AUUGAACGCUGGCGGCAGGCCUAACACAUGCAAGUCGAGCGAAGCGGCGGACGGGUGGGUAAUGCCUAGGAAUCUGCCUGGUCGUGGGGGAUAACGUCCGGAAACGGGCGCUAAUACCGCAUACUAUCAGAUGAGCCUGGGGGGGAUUAGCUAGUUGGUGGGGUAAAGGCGUACCAAGGCGACGAUCCGGGAAUGGGCUGAGAGGAUGAUCAGUCACACGGGAACUGAGACACGGUCCAGAGUCCUACGGUAGGCAGCAGUGCAGAAGUGUGGACAAUGGGAGAAAGCGUGAUACAGUCAUGCAGCGUGGGUGAAGAAGGUCUUCGGAUUGUAAAGUAGUUUAAGUUGGGAGGCGUUACCAACAGAAUAAGCACCGGCUAACUACGUGCCAGCAGCCGCGGUAAUAC
rnacentral:rRNA from 1 species